rnacentral:lncRNA from 1 species
AGGGAUAACUAAAUUGCAGCAGUAGUAAGGUAGGAAACCAGAACCUGUUACAAUUCACGGGAUGAUCCGCGGUGGUGGAGAUGAUGGCGGAAUUUGGCGACGAUCUUUUAAGCAAUUGUGGGAAUUAUUUUGGAUAGUUGUGGAGGGUUGAUGGAUGGCAGUGGAAGGGCAGCGAGAUGCCAAGAACGCUGCUCUGAUAUCAGGUGUUAGAACCCUUGCAGAUUCUAAACCUGGGG